rnacentral:rRNA from 1 species
AGAGUUUGAUCCUGGCUCAGGACGAACGCUGGCGGCGCGCCUAACACAUGCAAGUCGAACGAGAGAGAGGGAGCUUGCUUUUUCAAUCGAGUGGCGAACGGGUGAGUAACGCGUGAGGAACCUGCCUCAAAGAGGGGGACAACAGUUGGAAACGACUGCUAAUACCGCAUAAGCCCACGGCUCGGCAUCGAGCAGAGGGAAAAGGAGCAAUCCGCUUUGAGAUGGCCUCGCGUCCGAUUAGCUAGUUGGUGAGGUAAUGGCCCACCAAGGCGACGAUCGGUAGCCGGACUGAGAGGUUGAACGGCCACAUUGGGACUGAGACACGGCCCAGACUCCUACGGGAGGCAGCAGUGGGGAAUAUUGCACAAUGGGGGAAACCCUGAUGCAGCGACGCCGCGUGGAGGAAGAAGGUCUUCGGAUUGUAAACUCCUGUUGUUGAGGAAGAUAAUGACGGUACUCAACAAGGAAGUGACGGCUAACUACGUGCCAGCAGCCGCGGUAAAACGUAGGUCACAAGCGUUGUCCGGAAUUACUGGGUGUAAAGGGAGCGCAGGCGGGAAGACAAGUUGGAAGUGAAAUCUAUGGGCUCAACCCAUAAACUGCUUUCAAAACUGUUUUUCUUGAGUAGUGCAGAGGUAGGCGGAAUUCCCGGUGUAGCGGUGGAAUGCGUAGAUAUCGGGAGGAACACCAGUGGCGAAGGCGGCCUACUGGGCACCAACUGACGCUGAGGCUCGAAAGUGUGGGUAGCAAACAGGAUUAGAUACCCUGGUAGUCCACACCGUAAACGAUGAUUACUAGGUGUUGGAGGAUUGACCCCUUCAGUGCCGCAGUUAACACAAUAAGUAAUCCACCUGGGGAGUACGACCGCAAGGUUGAAACUCAAAGGAAUUGACGGGGGCCCGCACAAGCAGUGGAGUAUGUGGUUUAAUUCGACGCAACGCGAAGAACCUUACCAAGUCUUGACAUCCCUUGACGAACAUAGAAAUAUGUUUUCUCUUCGGAGCAAGGAGACAGGUGGUGCAUGGUUGUCGUCAGCUCGUGUCGUGAGAUGUUGGGUUAA